rnacentral:lncRNA from 1 species
AUGUUCCGCAGGGCACGCCUUAGCGUGAAGCCGAAUGUCAGGCCCGGAGCAGGCGCCAGGGCCUCCACCGCCCCCAAUUCCCAGCGUGAACAAGAACCUCCAAGGCCGCAGGAGCCUGCCGCGGCCUCUGCUCCGAAGCCUCCGGAAUCCACAGAUGUGCCCCCGGUGGACUUCGGGGAAGCGGAGCCCCAAGACAAGACUCCCAAGAGCAGUGUUGAAAAGACUGAUGAUGGGAAGGAUGUUGAAGAAUCCAUUAAUCAAGAAGCUCCACAGCCAAACCCUGUUCCAACAAAAGAGAAACAGCCAUGUUCAGACAGAUACCGAAUAUACAAAGCCCAGAAACUGAGGGAAAUGUUAAAAGAAGAAUUGAGGAAAGAGAAGAAGCAAUGGAAAAACAAGUAUGCCGUAAAUGAAACUCAAAGGCCACCGGAUCGUUCCAAAAUGACUAUGAGAGACUUCAUAUAUUAUCUACCAGAAAGCAAUCCAAUGACUUCUUCACUGGAGCAGGAAAAGAAAACUGAAAAAUCAUCGACACCAGUCCGAACACGAGAGCAAGAAAGCAAGACUACUCCUGAUGGUGAAGAUAACGACGAAGUAGAAGAAGAGUUGGAUGAUGGGCCCUUGCUGGUUCCUCGAGUAAAAGUGGCAGAAGAUGGGUCUAUUAUUUUGGAUGAAGAAAGUUUAACUGUAGAAGUUUUAAGGACAAAAGGUCCCUGUGUUGUUGAGGAAAAUGACCCCAUAUUUGAGCGUGGUUCUACAACUACAUAUUCCAGCUUUAGGAAAAGCUACUACUCUAAACCAUGGUCAAAUAAAGAGACAGAUAUGUUUUUUUUAGCCAUCAGCAUGGUAGGAACUGACUUUUCUAUGAUUGGACAGCUUUUUCCUCACAGAGCAAGAAUAGAAAUUAAGAAUAAAUUUAAACGUGAAGAGAAAACAAAUGGAUGGAGAAUAGACAAAGCAUUCCAGGAAAAGCGCCCUUUUGACUUCGAUUUUUUUGCUCAUUUGCUUCAGAAAGUUCUUGCCGAAGAAGAGAAAAGAAAACAAAAAUCUGUUAAAAAUCAGAGUUCAAAGGAGAAGAAGUCCUCUAAAUCACGGAAAAAUGUAAAAGUGAAAAAAGUUGCUAAUGAUGAUCGAGAUGAGUCUGUGAGCACUAAAAUUUCAAACUCAGGAAGGUCGCAAAAGGAUGCUCAGACAGUUGAAGAAGAACUGCAGUCUCUGACUUUAUCUGAACAGGAUUCAGAACAGAAUGCAUUAGAACUAGACGUAAAUCAAAAGAAAAGAAGAAGAAAGAAUCAGGGUGAGGGUAGUGAACAAGAAGUGCAUUUUUCAGGAAGUGCCACUGUUCAGCCAGGCUCUUCUAAAGGAGAAAAACACAAAAAUAAAGGCCUGUGUUUAAGUCCUGAGAUUAAUGAAAAUGAAUCCAGUAAGGAACAAGAGCUUCCCUGUGUACAGGACACAGAUGACCUUGUGGGUUUAUCCUCUAGUGAAGACGCUGAGAAAAGAACUGACCCUAUUCUUUCAUCAAGGGAACCUGACCAAACAGAAACUAUUAAACCAAUGACAAGAGGACGACUCCAGAGACCUAAACCCAAUUUAUCGAGGGCAGUUGGGAAGAAAUCAGUUCUUUCACGAGGUAAAACAGAUGCAGAGGACAAGAGUUUACAUAAAGAAACUCCUGUUGAAAAGAGUCCCAUGGAAAAGGAUGGUAUUUCUGGAAUGGAGAAUACAGAGAAAGGGAACCGAGAACCUGACUCUGUAUCUAAUUUGAGUGAAAAAACUUGUCUGCAGGAAGAUGAUCAACCAAAGGCUUUCAGACCUGCACGACUAAUGCGGGGCUUAUUACAAAGGCCGAAACCAAAUGUAGGUAAAGCUGCUGAAAGAAAAGGAACUCUUACAUCACAGGAAAAGCCCGGUGCCAGUAUAGAAAAGAAUGAAAAUGAAUCCUGCAUCAACAGAAAUACUCCUGAACAGAUAGAAGAUCAAUCAUGUGAAAAUUUUGAGUGUGAAGACAUUGCAUCACUACCUGAAAAAAAAGACAGUUCCUUUCAAAAUGUGCAGUCAGAUGAGCCCAAGGCUGUUAAUGAGUGUCUGAGUAUUCAGGAGGAUAAUAGAGCAAAUAAAGAUGUUCGAAUUCCAAAGACUCGAUUUCAGAAACCAAAGCCAAAUCUAGGGAGGAGAACUGGAAGAAGAGGAAUUUCCUCAAAGGAAGAGGUACCAAAGGAGGUAAUUGCCUCUGAGGAGAUGACAGCAGCUUUGAGAGAAACUGCAACACUGGAAACCUCACUAAGGGAGAAGGAACCUGUGGAGACUAAUACUACUAAGGAAAUGGAGUCAGAUUUAAAAGAAAUUGGAAGAAAAGACAUCUCUUCCUGGGAUAUAACUCCGGAAAUGAGUGAUGUCGCUGUGGAAAUGGAGACAGAUUUGAAAGAAACUGAGAAAAAUGACAUCUCUCCCAGGGAAAAAAUGCCAGAAAUAAGUGAUGUCACUGUGGAAAUGAAGACUGAUUUGAAGGAAACCGAAAAAAAUGACAUCUCUACCAUGGAGAAGAUACCAGAAAUGAUUGCUGUCAUUGCAGAAAUGGAAACAGAUUUGAAAGAAACUGGAAAAAAUGACAUCUCUCCCAGGGAGAAAAUACCAGAAAUGAGUGAUGUCACUGCAGAAAUGGAGACAGAUUUGGAAGAAACUGAAAAAUAUGACAUCUCUCCCAGGGAGAAAAUGCCAGAAAUGAGUCCUAUCAUUGCAGACAUGGAGACAGAUUUGAAAGAAACCGGAAAAAAUGGCAUCUCUCCCAGGGAGACAGUACCAGAAAUGAUUGAUGUCACUGCAGAAAUGGAGACAGAUUUGGAAGAAACCGGAAAAAAUGACAUCUUUCCCAGGGAGGAAAUACCAGAAAUGAGUGAUGUCACUGUGGAAAUGAAGACUGAUUUGAAAGAAGUUGGAACAAAUGACAUCCCUCCCAGGGAGAAAAUGCCAGAAAUGAUUGAUGUCACUGCAGAAAUGGGGACAGAUUUGAAAGAAACCAAAAAAAAUGACAUCUCUCCCAGGGAGGAAAUACCAGAAAUGAGUGAUGUCACUGUGGAAAUGAAGACUGAUUUGAAAGAAGCUGGAACAAAUGACAUCCCUCCCAGGGAGAAAAUGGCAGAAAUGAUUGAUGUCACUGCAGAAAUGGGGACAGAUUUGAAAGAAACCGGAAAAAAUGACAUCUCUCCCAGGGAGGAAAUACCAGAAAUGAGUGAUGUCACUGUGGAAAUGAAGACUGAUUUGAAAGAAGUUGGAACAAAUGACAUCCCUCCCAGGGAGAAAAUUCCAGAAAUGAUUGAUGUCACUGCAGAAAUGGGGACAGAUUUGAAAGAAACCAGAAAAAAUGACAUCUCUCCCAGGGAGGAAAUACCAGAAAUGAGUGAUGUCACUGUGGAAAUGAAGACUGAUUUGAAAGAAGUUGGAACAAAUGACAUCCCUCCCAGGGAGAAAAUGCCAGAAAUGAUUGAUGUCACUGCAGAAAUGGGGACAGAUUUGAAAGAAACCGGAAAAAAUGACAUUUCUCCCAAGGAGAAAAUACCAGAAAUGAUUGAUGUCACUGCAGAAAUGGGGACAGAUUUGAAAGAAACCGGAAAAGAUAACGUUUCUCCCAGGGAGGAAAUACCUGAAAUGAUUGAUAUCUCUGUGGAACUAGAGACAGAUUCGAGAGAAACUGGAAAAAAUGACAUUUUUGCCAGGGAGAAAAUGCCAGAAAUGAGUGAUGUCACUGCAGAAAUGGAGACAGAUUUGAAAGAAACCAGAAGAGAGAUUUUCCCAGGGGAGGAGAUAACAGUGGUGACUGAGGCCACAGAGGAAAGAAAGACAGAUUUGGAAGAGACUGAAAGAAGAGAAAUGUCCCUAGAGGAAAAUGUCCCAGAGGAAGUUGAUACUAUUUGUGAGGUAGAAACAGAUUUGAAAAAAACUGAGAGAGAAGUUUCCCCAAAUGAGGAGAUAGCAGAGAUGCCUGGUGCUGCUGAGGAAGUAGAGACAGGUCUAGAAGAAACUGAUGGAAGAGAAAUAUCUACACAAAAAAAUGCCUCAGAGGUCAAAACUGUAGGUGAUGAAAUGGAUAUAGAUUUGAAAGAAAUUGGAAUAGAAAUUUCCCCAAGGGAAAAGAUAUUAUUGGGGAUCAGUGCCACAGGGGAAAGAGAGACUGGUGUGGAAGAAACUGGGCAGACAGACAUUUUCCUGAUGGAGAAAGCAUCAGCAAAGGUGGCUGCCAUUGAGGAAAUAGAGGCAGAUUUGAGAGACACUGGAAAAGAAAUUUCCUUGACGAAAAGCAGAUCAGAAGAGAUCGAGAAAAGCGUGGCAGAUUUGAAAAACGUAGAAAAAAUAGACAUUUCCCUAAGGGAAAAAGAACCAGAGGAGACUGGGACCUCAAGUCGAGCUGAGGCAGAUCCCUUGCAGGCCAGCAGUGGUGACUCCAGCACUGUGCCUUCACUGACUAAGAGAGACUUGGGCAGGGAAGUGCUAUCUGCUGUGGUUCAUACAUCUGUAGAAGAAAAAAAUUCUGAAAAGGAAGUGUCAAGUCAGUUGAGUCAUUUGAACAUUUCUUCUCAGUCUUCUGAGCUUGAUAAAAUAGAAGACCAGAGGAUGCGACCUCCAAGUGUUCCAGAGCAGUUUUCAGAUGUUAAUAUAAGCAAAUCUCUUCCUCAAGAACAGACACCAUGUGAAGUUAAGCUGACACCCUUUGUGAGAAGUAGAUUCAAAAGACCUAAACCAAACUUAGCAAGAGCAGCUUCAAAAAGAGAGACUACGAAAGCAGAAAAGCAUGCACCUGGGAAGGAGGUGGAAGCUGAUGAAACAGAGACGGUUGUGAUACAGCAGAACUGUGAACAAAUGAGUACUCUCCCUUCUCAACAUGAUGUGGCUUCUCUAAUGACAUCAAGAGAGAAAGACAAAUUAGAUCACGGUCCAGAGGAAACUGUGAUAUUACCAUGUGUGCAGACUGAAAAGGACCUUUCACCUUUGAGUUCUUGUGAAUCUAAAGAGGAGUCUCAGUCUACACAAGCCCAGGAAAAGAAAUUAGUUGUCUCUAUGGGGACUCAUAAUAUAAACACUUUUGAACAAGGAAUAAAGGAAAGGGUUAUCCAAUCUGCUCCACUAGUAAGGGGUCGACUUCAGAGACCCAGACCAAACUUAAGAAAGGUGGGCCAGAGGCAAGUAAUAGAAAAAAGUGAAACCAAAGAAACAACUAAGGAAGAAAAGACGCUACAAAAAGAUGAAACUGGAGAGAAAUUCCUGACUGUGCCAAAUUCUCAAAUUGCAACUGAAAUUGAAGUUGUAUCCUCUGAAGUGUCAGAAGGCAGAAUGUCUGAAAACCAGAGCCAUGUUCUUUUAGAAAACGUUCAUAUUAACAAAGUAGAUGUUUUAGAUGAAAAGAUGAGACAUGGACAUGAAACGUAUGUUCCUAGUCCACCACAAAUGAUAGGAAGACAGUUCCAAAGGGCUAAGCCAAAUUUGGGAAGAGCACAAAGUAAGAAAGAAGCAUCAGACAUAGAAGAAGACAGAGCAGACCAGAGGAAGGCAAGGAAGCCAGAAGAUAGUUUGUCACAGCAUGAAGGUUCUGACAGCCAGCUUCUUCCAAAAGGAAAACCUGAGUUUCUGACAUCUCUGGAGGUUUCAGCAAGAAAAGAUUCUGUAGGUUCCGAGGAGACUGAAUUGGCAAAAAAAGAUGCUCAAUCCGAAGUUGAACCAUCUGGGAGUGUUGGAGAGAAGACUGGAGAGGAUAAUUCUCUGUGUGCAGUUGUGGAAAAGCGGUGUAUCAGUAAACCGAGCUCCCCUCAAUUGUUAAAAGAACCAGAUAACUCUAAAAUUGCUCUGGAUCGAAGAAGAGCGCUCUCUUCUGCCUCUGAGCGUGAGAUAGAUCAUAGUAGAAGGAGAGUACGUCGCAAGGUUAAACCGAGCAUCCCUAAAGGGCGUGGCUCAAAACGAAGUCGGAGUAAGACUUCUAAGAAGGAACCCAGAGCUUCCAGGUCUGUGCUGGUGACUCUUCGAGCUUCCCAGGAAGAAGAUGAAGAUGAUGGUGAAGACUUUGAGUCUGACUACGAAGAAGAAAGCUAUCAUCUUGCUCCUGAAGAAGUAAACAAAGCUCCAGUGUUUGUACCUAUUGGUCUCAGAUCUCCUGAACCUGUUCCUGUUCAGAUUGAGGAAACUAUGGAAGAGCUUGUAAUCCCCACGAAUGUCACAGAUGUAGGAUGCAUAACUGUUGUUGAACAUCAACUUUCAUCAAACGUGGAUGUGAUUCCUCAAGAAAUGAGACAAGAAGAAAAUUUGAAUGCAUUAUCAGUUGAAAUGACCAUAGGUGAACAUUCCCAAGCUGAAACAGAAAGUACCAACGAUGGGAGCACUGAAGCUGCCAUAACCCUACUGACUAUGGGAGAUCUGGUGUUGCAGUCAGAGAUUAGCCCAGAACAGAGUGAUGGAAUAUGUAUACUUCCUGAUGCUCAUUCAGUCGAUCAAAGCCAUAUUCCUUUUAGCCCAGAUAAUGUAAAUCUCAAAAUUGUUCAUGAAUGUCAAGAACCUUCUUCACCUGGCCAUAAUACAUCUCCAUCAGUAGAACAAAACAAGAUUGUAUUGGAUGUGGAUAAACAGAAUACUAAAGAAGAAAUUGGUUUGACAGAAGUAAAGGAAAACACUACAUCAUCCAGGACUACAACUUCUGAAGUGACCAAUAAUGUGAGAAAAAGAAGUAGAUUUGCCAAGCCCAAGCCAGAUCUUAAGAAGAUGUUAGGGACCAAGAGAUUUGGUGCUCAUCAGAAAGUUCCUAGUUUGUUUGUAACUAAAGGAGAAGAAGUGGAAAUUCAAAGAGACACUGAGAAAAAUGCUUCUCAAGAAACAGGAUUAGAAGAUAAAAACCUCGGGUCGGUUACGGCAACAGAGAGUACAGAGCAGAGCAAAGUGGCAUCUGCACAUGGUGUUGAAGAGACCAGUAUUUCACAGGAAGCUCACCUAACUGAGAGAGGUGAAGAUCAAGAAGGGAGAUCUGAAGAAGUUCCGAUAUCAUCAGUUGCUCCCGCUGUCUCUUCUGAGUCAGGGCCCCACACAGGCGGUCUGGGCAUGGGUCUUGGUGAGAGUUCUGUUGAAGAGCCUCUGGGAAAGGACUUUAACGGAGAUCCUGUGCUCACACUAAAUGUGCCAGAGUGUAUACCAACUAGUAUUCCAGAAGUCCAGCAAGAGAAUGUGAACGAUCUUCAAGACAUAACAGUCAAUCUAGUUAAUGUACAUCAGGAUGGUGAGGAUGAACAAACUUUCAUCUUAACUCUGGUGGAAAUCCCAGAAGAAUAUGCUGAUAGCACUAUGCAGUUAAUGCCAAAUCCUUUACUGCCGGCGCCCAUAUUGGUCAAAUCGAUGAAUACAAAAGAAAGAGAAGACAUGAGUAUCAGUUUUCCAGGAACUUCCGUAGGUCAAGAUGACACGUGUUUAUCUAAUUCUGAAAGAGAUGAUUCAGAAAAGUCUGCUGCUAAUUUGAAUCUUGUAUCUAGGAAGAGAUAUCAUUGUAGCGUUGAUGAAAGUGACCAUGUCCCUCCUGCCAAAAAAACUUCACUCACUUCAAUAGAUGAUUGUCAAAAAUAUACCUCUGAGGUGUGUUCAAAGGAAUUAAAAAAUGUUUUGGAGGAAACAGGGGAGUCUUACAAGGGACAGGAUAUCUUCCCUACCUCAGGAAACAUACAGACAAUUUCAGAACCUCCGAAAGAGCAACUUGAACCAACUUCUCAGAGUAUCAGAUCUGGAUCUCUUGAUAAAAUAACAGAUACACAAGAAAAGGAUGCAUCUCAGUUACCUCAGGAUGAGAUGAUGGUGUCUGAUAAGGAAGAAAGAACUUGUGCUGCUUCUGAAUCUGAACAAAUGGGCAGCAUCACAUCGUCUUCGAAACCCCCCCUAACCAGACCUGGCAGAAGACCCCUGGGAUUUUUGUCUUUACUAUGUUCAAAGAAUAGCUUGGACUCUGAUGAACCUACACAGGUUCAUUGUAAGAAACGCCUAAAACCUGUUAUACCUGUAUCAAGACAAAAUUUGAAAAGAUGUAAUCUGCCUAGUGUAAGCCAGAAAAAAACUCGAGAGUCCUCUGAUGUUCCAUCUCCAAGUGUUGUUGACAAUACUCAACAUACGAAUAAUGCUAGUUCAGCAACUCAGGUUUCUCAUAAUCGUCCCUUACUGAAAGGAGAAUGUAAAGGUGGCCAAAACCGGGUACCUGAAGAGGAGCCAACCACAGUCUCUGAAUAUUUCUUUAAUGAUAUCUUUAUUGAAGUGGAUGAAACAGAAUAGAAAGUCGCCUUUUUUAUUUUUUUUUUAAGUCUGAGAUUUCCAGAAUCAGUUAUAUCAACAAAGCAGUAU